GAGAAUUUGAUUUUUUGCUACUCUAUGGUAGUCCCUCUAACAUCUAAUAGUUUUCAGCUACAUACAGUUGAACAGUUAGCAGCUGAAACCCCAAAAAUAUAUUAUUUAUAUGCUGGGAGGGAGAAAACACUAUCUUAAUGAUGUUGCAGUUAAUGAAAGAUCUUUUAAAAUUCUGGCAUACUUGGACCUCCUCAUGCAGAAGGCUGGGAGAGGAGUAAGUGUUGGAUGUGUGACCAGCUGUGUUCUCACGGUCUGUUUCCAACAUGGCUCUUCCAAAUGCUUGAACACUGAUCUACAUAAAGGAUAAAUUCCAUGUCAAGACAGAAUGUAGACAAGAAAAUAGGAACGCUUUGGAUUUGAUCUAUCAGCUUGCUGCUAAAAAGCAGCUUCCAUCGCAUCUCUCACAAUGUGAACAAUGACACAAUCUUCUUCUUUUCUUAAGGCGGUAAACCUGAUUUCAACAUGUCGGAGGAAGAUGAUUCUUUUCUGAAUGUUAAAAGAUCUCUGAAGAAGACAAUGGUGAAACACAGCACCCCAGUGGACUCAAUGCUUUCAAGAACAAUUCCAUCUCUUACAGAUCUGACAAAUCAGUCAAUCAAGGACCAAGAUGCCACAAAGAGGGUUUAUGGAUCUCCGAUGCCAAAGCCAAAUCUAAGCAGAUCAUUAUCUCAAGUAUCAUCAGUGUGUAUUGAUGCAUACUUCCCUCAUAUGUCCCCAAAAAGGCUUUCAACAGCAUUUGAUUUGCAAGAACUAAAUAAGGAGAAAAGCCAAAGCUCUCGGCUUGUAUUUUCUAGAAGGAGGCUUUCCACUGUGUUGGCCUCUGAUGAAUCAAAUCAAGAGCCAGCUUACAAUGUUGUCCCAAGCACAGAAACUCAAGCUACCACCAGAGCAUCUGUGGAUGCUGCAGUAACUCCUAAGAGUAGACCUUCAUGGCUUGUUUCUGGAAUUCCAGGGAUAAAAGAUCUCCCAGAAGCAAAAUCAAGAAAGAAGAAAAUUGAUAAAGCUCUUCAGAGAAAGAAAGAAAGAGAAUGGCUGCUUCGUCAACUUAGAAACAUUGAAGAGGCAGCUAAACACGAGCUGACAAUUGAAGAAGCUUGACUGGGCUACCUGUGGGUAGUGCUGUUGCAUCCAUCAUGUGGGAAUGGCUAGUUCCAAUAAAUCACACUCUUCAUUAAAGUGUCUGUUAGACUUCCUCUUUCCUUCCAAAAUGUUCUUUUUCUGUUGUUUAUUUGUUUUAUCAUUCUUUCCUCUUAAAUCUAAGAGAAGUCAGGUAUAAAUUAAGAAGAGUCAAUGUUUACUCAUAAUGGCAGAAAGGCCUACGACAAAGAAGGGAGGAAACACUUUCUGUAAGAAUCAUUCUUCACCCUGCCACAGCUUUUCCUGUCUUACAUGCAGCAUUCAAGUCUUAUAGGGUUGCUGAUGUUUCUUAAGUGACAAAGUCCUAGUGGUCACAUAGAGUGUAAUCCUGGUUAGCCAAAGGAGAAGCUCUUCAUCUUAAGGGUAAUCAAAGCUGAUGCAACCUGGAAUGUUUUUGCUGCUACCUGGCGAGAUGAGGAAAUACUGAGAGGCAACAAGGAGGGAGGCCAUUCUUUAGGGAUUACUAAUUAAUGACAGCUUAUUUUGAAGUUUUGGUUCAAAAUCAGUUUGUCCUAGCCUCAGAUUGUAAAUGCAACUCACUGGGGUAUUUGAGAUACUUAAUGCUUGGCUGUGUGUUUUGAGCAAGUAUGGGUUUUCUAUUUGUUUCUUUCCUCUGGAGCGGCUGCAUGGAGGUCAAGAAGGGUGUCUUACCUGACAGCUGUAUUGUCAAAAUAGUAAUUUGGCUCAAAGGAACUUUCUGAAGCAUCAGUCAAGAAUUUAUGCAAAAGGCACAAUAGUCAAGUUAGUUCCUACUGCUGUCUGUUAUUUAAUCUUUAUACAGGCAGUGUUAUCACUUCUAAGUGAUAUGUGGAGUGUCAACAGCUGGAAUCCACAAUAGAUUUACCACCUACAUACACACAUUUCUGCACUUGUGUGGCUCUAGCAUAUGUGCUUUCCUGGCUUAUACUGGUUUUUCAGCUGUUCCAGGCACUCAUUACCCCAAAGAGGAGAGGUCACAUUCAAAAGAAGCUGCCAUUAAGAAUGGAGGCAGGGGACACUUUUGCAUUUCCUUCCCAGACACUGUAAAUUGUAAUCUCUCACAUCCAAGGUGGAAGAGGAGAAGUAUGUCCCAUGCCAACAUUAUGAGGCAGGCCAAUCAAUAGCAUCUCUGUUACACUUCAAAAUGUAAGAGCGGAGUUGUGGUUUUACAACCUCUCUCAGGAUUUCAAAGGAAUUAGGAUGUUUUUGCUAAUGAUUCUUGAAGUGAAAUUCUUCAGAAUUCCUCAGGAGAACAGCCUUAUCCACAGACGUGGAUUUCUGUUUAGCCAGGCAGUGGGGUGAUGCUGUCCUUCAGGUCAUGAGCCAAGUCACGCUCACUUGGUUUCAUGUUUAGUUAAUGUUCUGGAAUUUGUUUGUGUGUGUUACCCAGGCUGCUUGUCUGGCCUCCACAGGUUCCUCUGGCAACCAGAGAGCUCCUGGCUGGUGUAGAUCCCAAGCUGCUUUUGAGAUAAAAUAGGCAUGGUUGCAGAUGUGCUGCUAUUCCCCUUGAGCCUGCAGGCAUUUCAUCAGUAUCUGUGAUUUGUGCCAGGAGCUGAACUAAGAUCAGGCAAGUGCAAGGUUAGUGUAAAACCCUCCUCUACCCCUGGGACAAGCACAGAUUAGUCUGGCUGCAUGACCCAAUGCUUAAUCCAAAUGACCCAGUUCUGCCUCUUGUUUAUUUGUACCUUCCGAGAUAGUCAGUUCCAGUUGUUCUUUCUUCACGCUUCUCAUCCUAGUCUCAGGAAGUCUUGAUGCUGCUUUUGCUUUCCUUUCUCACAGUUGCCUCUCAAGUCACUCUUGGCUCCUGCUUAUUGAGUUUCUUGGUCUUCAAAUGUCUUCUUCUAAUGUCUUCUCCAAUUUGGCCUCUAGUUGUUUCCUUCCUUAUAAGACGUAGAGGUCUUUUGUCUUUAGUGCCUGGUCUUCACUGCUGGAUUCCUUGCCCAUCUGAUACCCUCUGAUAUCUGACACUGGUCUUCUGCCAAAACUCAGGCUCUGUUGUCAUACCCCAAAGUGCCUUUGUCUACUUAGGCUGAUGCCCUCCAUGAUGCUAGGCCAAGUGGGAAGGUCAUGUGGGACAAGUUCCAGACAUUAGGAGGCCAGGGGUGUAGUUGCUGCAAAAUUCCUUCUAAGGCCCUGCUUUGGGCUACGUUCAAUGCAAAAGGAAUCCAGGGACUAUGGCUACUUAACAUAUAAGACAUCUUUGGCUUCAUUCCAAGUGCAAUGCAAAACUUCUGAAAUUCAGAGCACAGUAAAUGAUGGGAAAGUCUUUCAGGGAGCAAGGUGCCACCCUGUCAGGUUCAUGGAAAGAGUUGGUGUCAAUAAAAUCACAAAGACUUUCCUCAGUGAAGGAAAACAAAUUGUAAUGAGAGAUAACACAGAACUGACUUUGGGUCUUUCCAAGUUUUCAAGCUAUAUCAGGCAGACAGAUGCAAAAACCAAGGGUUCUCAUGAUUUUGAAAACUACUUCUAUUUUCUCUCUAGAAUGGUUAAAUACAAAAGACUCUAUAGCAUUUGUUUUGGAAUAAUUUAGGUGUUCAUGAGUUUGCAAAAGUUAUUAAACUGCUUAUAGUAUUUCAUGAAAAUAUUAAUACAAUCAACUGGUUCUUCAGCGGUUUUUCAACAUAUGUCUUGACAUUCUACAACCACAGUAUCAACAGUUAAUUGCAUGUAACAAUCCCAAGGGACUUCAACCAGGCCUCUAUAGUACAGACCUUAGUGAAAGGUGUUCCCAAAGAAAGGUUUGUCUCUAAUUUAUAAAAUCAGGAUGUUAGAAAAUGUGAAACUAUAUGUAUCAAAUUGCACGCACAAAACUAAGCUGCUGUUAUUAUACUUCAUGUGUAAGUAUAUCCAUAGGGCAAAAAUAAAUUUAAAAAAC
rnacentral:lncRNA from 13 species